ACAGCUACUUAUGCCCAUCAUAUCACCCUGAAAGGAGGAAACACUGCAUAUGGCAUCACAGUGGCACACUUCCUCACAACCCCGUUGGUGACGCCAUGGCCAAAAGCUACACAUCAGCUCUUUAUCCCUCCAAAGAGCCAGUUGUUAAUCAUUUGCCAGCACACCUCUGCUCUAAGCCCACAAAAUGUCACUCAUAUGAAGCUUUCAUAACCAAAUCCUCACGUGUGUAUCCUUCUUCCUUCCAAUUUCAAGAUUCAUGCAGCCAGUUCAUAGAAAUGUUCCUAUCAAGCCACAUGCUCUGUCCUUUCAGCUUUAAGAAAGAAAUCUAAAAACUGAUCACCUUAGAAGAUGUACCAUGAUUCUCUUGUGGCUUGGCCCACCUCUGACCCACCCUCUGGUCCUCUGCAGGAGCACGUUAUGAUCUAUGAUCCAUGAGAAGGCUUUUCCAUCAAACUACGUGCUCCUCUAGAGUCCAACAAAGGGAAGAACAUAUAUUAUGACUACAGUCUUACCAUCUCAAGUUUGAAAGAACAAAGAAAUGUGUGGGCCUGUUGCAACCAGUUGUGAAGAGAGACCUUUGGGAAACCUCCCUUAUGAAGCCAAAGUCCCCUAGGAAUGCCGUAUAAUGAUUUUUCCACAUGUAGGAACAGAAAGUAAUAAUAGACUGUGGUCAUUCUUCUUCAUUAA